rnacentral:rRNA from 1 species
CCUACGGGAGGCAGCAGUGGGGAAUCUUCCGCAAUGGGCGAAAGCCUGACGGAGUGACGCCGCGUGGGGGACGAAGGCCUUCGGGUCGUAAACCCCUGUCAGAGGGAAAGAAGGGUGUCGGCGUGAACAGCGCCGGCAUCUGACGGUACCUUCAGAGGAAGCCCCGGCCAACUCUGUGCCAGCAGCCGCGGUAAGACAGAGGGGGCAAGCGUUGCUCGGAAUCACUGGGCGUAAAGGGCGCGUAGGCGGGGUGGCAAGUCGGUCGUGAAAUCCCCCGGCUCAACCGGGGAGGGUCGGCCGAGACUGCCGCUCUUGAGGGAUGCAGAGGAGACUGGAAUUCCCGGUGUAGCGGUGAAAUGUGUAGAGAUCGGGAGGAACACCGGUGGCGAAGGCGGGUCUCUGGGCAUCUCCUGACGCUGAGGCGCGAAAGCGUGGGGAGCAAACGGGAUUAGAUACCCGAGUAGU